AGCGAACGCUGGCGGCAGGCCUAACACAUGCAAGUCGAACGAACCUUUCGGGGUUAGUGGCGGACGGGUGAGUAACACGUUGGAACGUGCCUUUAGGUUCGGAAUAACUCAGGGAAACUUGUGCUAAUACCGAAUGUGCCCUUCGGGGGAAAGAUUUAUCGCCUUUAGAGCGGCCCGCGUCUGAUUAGCUAGUUGGUUGAGGUAAUGGCUCACCAAGGCGACGAUCAGUAGCUGGUCUGAGAGGAUGAUCAGCCACCUUGGGACUGAGACACUGCCCAAACUCCUACGGGAGGCAGCAGUGGGGAAUCUUGCGCAAUGGGCGAAAGCCUGACGCAGCCAUGCCGCGUGAAUGAUGAAGGUCUUAGGAUUGUAAAAUUCUUUCACCGGGGACGAUAAUGACGGUACCCGGAGAAGAAGCCCCGGCUAACUUCGUG
rnacentral:rRNA from 1 species